rnacentral:lncRNA from 1 species
ACUUAACUAAGAAAACAUUUAAAGCACCAAAAAUUUAGAAAAACCCAAUUCACCCCCCCUCUUGGAUUGUCACCUUGGGCAACAAGUGGUAUCAGAGCAGGUGCUCUAUAAUUCCUUGCCUUUUUGAUUUUGACCUAACCGUCAAAGAGCCAAAGAUCAUGACAACUCAAAUAGAUAGUUUUCUAGGAGAGGGACAAUUAAUUGAUCGACCUCCACUAUU